AAUAUUGGUCAAUGGACGCAAGUCUGAACCAGCCAUGCCGCGUGAAGGAUGAAGGUCCUCUGGAUUGUAAACUUCCUUUAUCUGGGACGAAAACGGGAUUUUUAUCUCAAUUGACGGUACCAGAGGAAUAAGCACCGGCUAACUCCGUGCCAGCAGCCGCGGUAAUACGGAGGGUGCGAGCGUUAUCCGGAUUUACUGGGUUUAAAGGGUGCGUAGGUGGGCUUAUAAGUCAGUGGUGAAAUCUCCGAGCUUAACUUGGAAACUGCCGUUGAUACUAUAGGUCUUGAAUUAUCUGGAGGUAAGCGGAAUAUGUCAUGUAGCGGUGAAAUGCUUAGAUAUGACAUAGAACACCAAUUGCGAAGGCAGCUUACUACAUAUAAAUUGACGCUGAGGCACG
rnacentral:rRNA from 1 species